UUCGUUUUUUCGCUUUGUGCGGCCGCGGGUGGCACCGCUGGGUGGCGCCCCUCCUCUGCUGGCGCCCCUGGCGAGUGCCAUCCUGGCCAAAGCAUAGAUACGCCCCUGCUCAUAUGCACAGGAUUCUCACCCUGGAAAUGCUGAACAAAUGCCGACCUGAAGAACCACUAUUUGCAGACCAGGUUCCAUGAAGGAGAGAGAUGGAGCAUGCAUGAUGGCAGCUCAUGCGCAGAUAUACUGUUUUGACUAUCAGUUUGUAUUAUGAUCCAUUCCAGUUUCAAUAUAUAAACAAGUUAUGCCACAAAGAGGUGAUCCUGACUGCGAUGGUUAACAGAACAAAGAGGAAUUGGGCAUAUCAGCUGCUCAUCCAGUACAGUAGAGGUAGAAACUCUAUUGCCGAUGUGCCUUGGGUGAAGAAGAAAAUAGCAAAUUCCCAAACAGUCUUUGUAAAGGAACACAAGAAGGUGCAGGAAUCAUAGCGAUCUGGAGUCGGGACAGAUGAGAUCUAUAAGCCAACUCUGUGCUACUAUGACCAAUUAAAGUUCAUUUUGGAGCAAGACCCGUGGGUAACGCCAUGGGAAAGUCUGAAUCCAGAGUCUCCAGUUGUUGUGGAAGAGGAGGCCCAGGAGAGUCUGGAUCUGGACCUUACCCCGGAGCUGGAGGAGGAGCCUUCUACAGGCCAAGGGGCAGAAGUGGUUGAGCCAGUGAUGGUACCGGUGGUGAAGGCAACUCCACAGCCACGCCCUGAAAGACCCUGGUGGAUGGCGAGGAAGGCCAUUUCUGCCCCGUCUUGCUCCCAGCAGUUUUACCAACGAGCCAUGGCGCUACGGAUGGCUGCCUCGGUGCUGCUCUGCCAAGCAGCCUUCGUUUUUAGUCUUACAUGUAUAAUAUGUAUAAUAUGUUGAGUCUAUUGUACAGUUGCAAUGUGCAGUAGGAACUCAUAUGUGUAAUGUUUGUAAUGUAUGCUAUGUUUUUCCCCCUUCUUAUGCUAUGUAUUCCCCCUUCAUGUUGCUGCUUGGCGAUGCAUUGUACCACAAACAAUUCCUAGUGUACGUGAGUACACCUGGCCAAUAAAGCUGAUUCUGAUUCAGUGCCUAUUUUUCAACUGGUUGAAAAAUCUGGCGCUGGCGUAAAUCGCAAUUUGCCAAUCCACCGCCUAGAUGUAAUAGGGUACGAUUUUUUAAGUGUCUUUAAAAAAUGCAGCAAACCACAUGUUUGUAACUUGAUAAAAAAUUGCAAAUGUAAUAGGGAGCAAUUUUUAAGGAUAAAACGGAUUUUGCAUGCGAUUAUUGGGGAUUUUUAGUAAAGGAAACUUGCAAAUUUUAGUAAUAAAAACAU